UCUACUUCCUCAAAGAGCAGAAGAAAGAGGCACAGUUUGCUGUAUGGGCUUGUGAUUUAUUUUCUCUGAAAAUGCCGUCAGCAAGCAGUUUAUGUGGCUAUGCAGGUUUCAUCUUUAACAUGAAUGUUUUCAAGAGCCAUCACUGGCAAAAAGGAAUUUAAGCCCACUGUCUGGUAUCAUGAGGCUUCCCCCUAUAUAUAUUGAAGUGAUUUAUCGAGUCAGGAAGCAAUUUGGAUUUUGGGAAGAAUCCUAUUGGAUGGUUCACUCUAUAUAUGUAUGCGUGUCACUUUAUUUCAGUAAUUACCUUUGUUCCCACUGAAGAAAGCCUGCUGGCUGAAACCAGUCUGGGAUGUACACUACCUUAUGGAUUUAUAUUAAAUUAAUGUAUUAACCUCA